GUGGGGAAUCUUCCGCAAUGGACGAAAGUCUGACGGAGCAACGCCGCGUGAGUGAUGAAGGUCUUCGGAUUGUAAAGCUCUUUCGUUAGGGACGAACGUGCUCUUUGUGAAUAAUGAGGAGUAAUGACGGUACCUAAAUAAGAAGCCACGGCUAACUACGUGCCAGCAGCCGCGGUAAUACGUAGGUGGCAAGCGUUGUCCGGAAUUAUUGGGCGUAAAGCGCGCGCAGGCGGGAUAUCAAGUCUGUCUUAAAAGUGCGAGGCUCAACCUCGUGAGGGGACAGAAACUGGUAUUCUUGAGUGUCGGAGAGGAAAGUGGAAUUCCAAGUGUAGCGGUGAAAUGCGUAGAGAUUUGGAAGAACACCAGUGGCGAAGGCGACUUUCUGGACGAUGUCUGACGCUGAGGCGCGAAAGCUAGGGGAGCGAACGGGAUUAGAUACCCCGGUAGUCC
rnacentral:rRNA from 1 species